rnacentral:lncRNA from 1 species
AGUCCUUGUUGUGACCAGCCUUCCUUUCAUGGUGUCUUAGGUGGCUGUCUUAGUAAUGUUGGGACUCUGAAGAUGGAUCAAGGUGUCUUUCCUCCUUGAAUGAUAGUCCAAGAUGUUGGAUGGGUCUUAGGUGAGGAGCUGGCUGGGUGUCAGGGCACAGGGUGGUAAGGGUGGCUGGGAGUCCUGGCCUUGCCCUUGUCACCCCAUUUAGGAGCCUCAGCAAGACCAGGCGGGGGCAAUAGAGAGGGGGCAGGAGGCCUUGGACCUGGGCCUGUCUGUUCAUCCCUUACUUGGUGCAGAACAUCUGCUGGGGCCCCUCACAUCUGUGGGGUCUGGAUGUGAACAUAAUGUGUGAACCUUACCUGGCCGCGGGCACCACAGUCUGAGCUGCAGGUGACAGCCCCAGAUGCGGCGGAUCAGGAAACAGGUCCCACACUGGGGUCCCAGCUGGGCAGGUGGAGAACCGGCUCCCUCUGCCUGCCCCGCAGUGGCCAGGGCCUGUGCUCACACACACAUCA